GGGCGCAUGGCCUAAUGGUAAGGCGUUAGAUUUCGGUUACUAGACUAUCUCUAAAGAUUGCAGGUUCGAUCCCUGCUGUGCUCG